CAGUGAAUAAAAGAUGGAUAGCUUCUAACUCUAGAAUGAAGAGUUCAGGCUUAAGAGUGAGAGCUAUCACUGGAAAAUAUCCCCCUCGAUUCAGAACUACAGCACAGAUCAUGUUGCAGACCAAUGUAGUGGGACCCAGUUUCCACCUAUGUUCAGAAAUGAGAUGUAUGCAAGAAAUGUUUUACAUGGAAAAAGCAUGCAUGUCUCCUAACGUUCAGUUCAUAACUGCUGCAUUGUGCCAUCUUCAUACACUGGACUCUUUCCUUCCUACGUUGUUAAUGUGUUUGAGCACAGACACUGUGUUCACCUCUCCGGUCACAUCGACGUCCAAGCAGAUGUUCUGUGGCAAAGUUACAAAGCAUUUAUGUCACUUUUUAAAAUUAAUCAAAUUCUCCCUUGGAAGGAGUUUAGUUCCUCUGGCUUUAAAAGAUAUUAUUGCUGAAAAAUAAACUCUGUAUACUUGCUUUUAAAGA
rnacentral:sRNA from 1 species